rnacentral:rRNA from 1 species
GAUGAACGCUGGCGGCGUGCCUAAUACAUGCAAGUCGAGCGAACGGACGAGGAGCUUGCUUCUCUGAUGUUAGCGGCGGACGGGUGAGUAACACGUGGAUAACCUACCUAUAAGACUGGGAUAACUUCGGGAAACCGGAGCUAAUACCGGAUAAUAUUUUGAACCGCAUGGUUCAAUAGUGAAAGACGGUCUUGCUGUCACUUAUAGAUGGAUCCGCGCUGCAUUAGCUAGUUGGUAAGGUAACGGCUUACCAAGGCAACGAUGCAUAGCCGACCUGAGAGGGUGGUCGGCCACCCUGGAACUGAGACACGGUCCAGACUCCUACGGGAGGCAGCAGUAGGGAAUCUUCCGCAAUGGGCGAAAGCCUGACGGAGCAACGCCGCGUGAGUGAUGAAGGUCUUCGGAUCGUAAAACUCUGUUAUUAGGGAAGAACAUAUGUGUAAGUAACUGUGCACAUCUUGACGGUACCUAAUCAGAAAGCCACGGCUAACUACGUG